AGAGAUUAAACUGAAGAGUUUGAUCCUGGCUCAGAUUGAACGCUGGCGGCAUGCCUUACACAUGCAAGUCGAACGGCAGCACGGAGCUUGCUCUGGUGG
rnacentral:rRNA from 1 species